CCUACGGGAGGCUGCAGUGAGGAAUAUUGGUCAAUGGACGAGAGUCUGAACCAGCCAAGUAGCGUGAAGGAUGACUGCCCUAUGGGUUGUAAACUUCUUUUAUAAAGGAAUAAAACGAGGCACGUGUGCCUUUUUGCAUGUACUUUAUGAAUAAGGAUCGGCUAACUCCGUGCCAGCAGCCGCGGUAAUACGGAGGAUCCGAGCGUUAUCCGGAUUUAUUGGGUUUAAAGGGAGCGUAGAUGGGUUGUUAAGUCAGUUGUGAAAGUUUGCGGCUCAACCGUAAAAUUGCAGUUGAUACUGGCAGCCUUGAGUACAGUUGAGGUAGGCGGAAUUCGUGGUGUAGCGGUGAAAUGCUUAGAUAUCACGAAGAACCCCGAUUGCGAAGGCAGCUUACUAGACUGUAACUGACGUUGAUGCUCGAAAGUGUGGGUAUCAAACAGGAUUAGAUACCCGAGUAGUC
rnacentral:rRNA from 1 species